rnacentral:misc_RNA from 1 species
AAUCCAAAAUAAUCUUUACCUCAUAUGCAGAAGAGUUCUCUGUACACACCUUUGAAAAGUGUAAGCUUCAGUGUCAGUCCAACGUGUUGUCUGUAUGGAAAGUCUGUGACUAUUUCGUGAACAGGUUGGUGGAUGGUGGGCUUGAGGAUGUGAGAUGUACAACUUGACUGUGUGUGUGGAUUAUAUUCUGCAGCAAGUUGGCCAACUGGACAUUGAUUACUUACGCUGGGUAGUAUGGCUGACCUACCCUAUCAUUAUUUCGUUCCUGCUGCCACUGAUCCUCCUCGUGUUCCUCUAUGCCUCAGUCCUGUUUCUGCUUGUGUACAGGCAGAGACACAGACUCAGAGAUGCCUAUGCUCAUGACUUCUGGGAUGGAGCAAGGAAAACUCUUGCAGCCUUGUGGGAUGGACAAGGUAGAAUUUGGCAUGGCUACGAGGUUGUGGGUCUGCAUGAGAUACCUGACUCCGGACCUGCCCUGGUCAUCUAUUACCAUGGAGUCAUCCCCAUUGAUGUGUACUACAUCAUGGCCAAAGUCAUCCUGGAGAAAGGUCGUCAAAUCAGAGCCGUAGGAGACCGCUUCCUGUUUCACAUUCCAGGCUGGCGACUGUUGAUGGAGGUUUUCCAUGUGACCCCAGGAACAGUCCAGAGUUGUGUAGAUGUCCUGAAAGCUGGACACAUCCUCACGAUCUCUCCUGGUGGUGUGCGAGAGGCUCUUUUUGGAGAUGAAUAUUAUCACGUCAUGUGGGCAAAAAGAACUGGAUUUGCCAAAGUUGCUUUGCAAGCUAACGUACCUGUCAUUCCAAUGUUUACUAUGAAUUCUCGGGAAGCCUUCCGCACCCCUGGCUGGGGAAGAUCUCUCUUGAGAAAAUUUUAUGAGAUUACAAGAUUGCCACUUGUUCCUAUUUAUGGAUUUUUUCCAGUAAAACUGAGAACCUACUUGGGGAAACCUCUCUACCCAUCAUCAGAUGACACACCUGAGACAUUUGCUUCAAAGGUCCAGAGGGCUGUAGAGGCACUGAUCAAACGUCAUCAGCAGGUGCCUGGAAGUGUUGUCAAAGCACUUUUAGACAGAAUGCCAUGGAAGAUAAAAAAGAGUUGACCCUUCAAAAGGAAUAUUUAUAUUUUUAGGUGUAUAAAGUCAACAUUUUUGUGUGUUUAAUGAAUGUCUUUGCUCUUACUAAUUAAUGGACUGUGAUUUCCUGCUUGGCUAUUGUUAUCCAAAUAACUCUUGAUGUUGGUAGAAAAAGCUGUAGAAAUUAUCCUGGAACAUAGGAUACAAUUGUCUGUACAUUUAUUCCACUUCUGUACAUUUCAAUCAACAGGUCCAACUGACAAUAAGAAACAGAGAUACAAUGGACUCGGCCUUUUGGAACACACCAUCCCUCUCGCACCUGUUAUCCAAAACUUAACUGCCCAACUACGUCACAUAAUGACAAUCUCAUAGAAUCUAUAUACGUACACAAGGAACAUAAGGCAUCCAGGGAUAGGAACAAGGAUACUACUCAGGCCUAAAAACAGAAAGGAAGACUGUGCUGACUGUGCUGACUGUAGGCCACUAGAAAAUAUCACCAAAAAUAUAAAUUUACAAAGCCAAGGAAAAUUUAUAAAGAAGAUCAUGUUUUCUGUAGCUUAACACUGGUAGCAGGGACUGGUCUGAUCCACACAUUCAUUGUGCCCAUUUCUCCUCAUAUGAUAAUGAUUGUCAUCCAAUGUAUAAAUUUUCCCACAUUUUAGGCACACCUGACUGAAAGUCAAGUGAGCUUAUUUCAUGGCUUACUUGUCCUUCUCAGAAAUCCCUUGACCAAUGUAACAAACUGCACAUGUUCCCACCAAUAAUGACAGGCCAGUUUGUUCAAGAGGUGUGAAUCAACAACUUUUUAUGCGAUUACUCAGUAAUUUUUGUUCUAAAUGUAAUGAAAUUUGGUAUGAGUGUAGUUAGAAGUGGGCCUCAACAUACAUGUCAGAUUUUUGCAAUGUUUUAUGUUUUGACCUUUGAACUUUGCUCCUACAUGUUCUCAAAAUGUGUUUCCUUGCACUGUAAACAUCAUUGGUAGGAACACCCAUGUGAGGUUUCAUCUACAUUGGUAGGAACACCCAUGUGAGGUUUCAGCUACAUUGGUAGGAACAAGCAUGUGAGGUUUCAGCUACAUUGGUAGGAACACCCAUGUGAGGUUUCACCUACAUUGGUAGGAACACGCAUGUGAGGUUUCAGCUACAUUGGAAGGAACACGCAUGUGAGGUUUCAGCUACAUUGGUAGGAACACCCAUGUGAGGUUUCAGCUACAUUGGUAGGAACAAGCAUGUGAGGUUUCAGCUACAUUGGUAGGAACAAGCAUGUGAGGUUUCAGCUACAUUGGUAGGAACACGCAUGUGAGGUUUCCUUGCACUGUAAACAUCAUUGGUAGGAACACGCAUGUGAGGUUUCAGCUACAUUGGUAGGAACAAGCAUGUGAGGUUUCACCUACAUUUGUAGGAAAAAGCAUGUGAGGUUUCAGCUACAUUGGUAGGAACACGCAUGUGAGGUUUCAUCUACAUUUGUAGGAACACGCAUGUGAGGUUUCAGCUACAUUGGAAGGAACAAGCAUGUGAGGUUUCAGCUUCAUUGGUAGGAACACGCAUGUGAGGUUUCAGCUACAUUGGAAGGAACACGCAUGUGAGGUUUCAGCUACAUUGGUAGGAACAAGCAUGUGAGGUUUCACCUACAUUUGUAGGAACACCCAUGUGAGGUUUCAGCUACAUUGGAAGGAACAAGCAUGUGAGGUUUCAGCUUCAUUGGAAGGAACACGCAUGUGAGGUUUCAGCUUCAUUGGAAGGAACACGCAUGUGAGGUUUCAGCUACAUUGGUAGGAACAAGCAUGUGAGGUUUCACCUACAUUUGUAGGAACACCCAUGUGAGGUUUCACCUACAUUGGAAGGAACAAGCAUGUGAGGUUUCAGCUACAUUGGAAGGAACAAGCAUGUGAGGUUUCAGCUACAUUGGUAGGAACAAGCAUGUGAGGUUUCAGCUUCAUUGGUAGGAACAAGCAUGUGAGGUUUCAGCUACAUUGGUAGGAACACGCAUGUGAGGUUUCAGCUACAUUAGUAGGAACAAGCAUGUGAGGUUUCAGCUACAUUGGUAGGAACAAGCAUGUGAGGUUUCAGCUACAUUGGUAGGAACAAGCAUGUGAGGUUUCAGCUACAUUGGUAGGAACAAGCAUGUGAGGUUUCAGCUACAUUGGUAGGAACACGCAUGUGAGGUUUCAGCUACAUUGAUAGGAACAAGCAUGUGAGGUUUCAGCUACAUUGGUAGGAACAAGCAUGUGAGGUUUCAGCUUCAUUGGUAGGAACACGCAUGUGAGGUUUCAGCUUCAUUGGUAGGAACACGCAUGUGAGGUUUCAGCUUCAUUGGUAGGAACACGCAUGUGAGGUUUCAGCUACAUUGGUAGGAACAAGCAUGUGAGGUUUCAGCUACAUUGGUAGGAACAAGCAUGUGAGGUUUCAGCUACAUUGGUAGGAACACGCAUGUGAGGUUUCAGCUACAUUGGUAGGAACACGCAUGUGAGGUUUCAGCUACAUUGGUAGGAACAAGCAUGUGAGGUUUCAGCUACAUUGGUAGGAACAAGCAUGUGAGGUUUCAGCUACAUUGGUAGGAACAAGCAUGUGAGGUUUCAGCUACAUUGGUAGGAACAAGCAUGUGAGGUUUCAGCUACAUUGGUAGGAACACGCAUGUGAGGUUUCAGCUACAUUGGUAGGAACAAGCAUGUGAGGUUUCAGCUACAUUGGUAGGAACACGCAUGUGAGGUUUCAGCUACAUUGGUAGGAACACGCAUGUGAGGUUUCAGCUACAUUGGUAGGAACAAGCAUGUGAGGUUUCAGCUACAUUGGAAGGAACAAGCAUGUGAGGUUUCAGCUUCAUUGGUAGGACCACGCAUGUGAGGUUUCAGCUUCAUUGGUAGGAACACGCAUGUGAGGUUUCAGCUACAUUGGUAGGAACAAGCAUGUGAGGUUUCAGCUACAUUGGUAGGAACAAGCAUGUGAGGUUUCAGCUACAUUGGUAGGAACACGCAUGUGAGGUUUCAGCUACAUUGGAAGGAACAAGCAUGUGAGGUUUCAGCUUCAUUGGUAGGAACACGCAUGUGAGGUUUCAGCUACAUUGGUAGGAACAAGCAUGUGAGGUUUCAGCUACAUUGGUAGGAACAAGCAUGUGAGGUUUCAGCUACAUUGGUAGGAACACGCAUGUGAGGUUUCAGCUACAUUGGAAGGAACAAGCAUGUGAGGUUUCAGCUACAUUGGUAGGAACACGCAUGUGAGGUUUCAGCUACAUUGGUAGGAACACGCAUGUGAGGUUUCAGCUUCAUUGGUAGGAACAAGCAUGUGAGGUUUCAGCUACAUUGGUAGGAACAAGCAUGUGAGGUUUCAGCUACAUUGGAAGGAACAAGCAUGUGAGGUUUCAGCUUCAUUGGUAGGAACAAGCAUGUGAGGUUUCAGCUACAUUGGAAGGAACAAGCAUGUGAGAUUUCAGCUACAUUGGAAGGAACAAGCAUGUGAGGUUUCAGCUUCAUUGGUAGGAACAAGCAUGUGAGGUUUCAGCUACAUUGGAAGGAAUCAGCAUGUGAGGUUUCAGCUACAUUGGUAGGAACACGCAUGCGAGGUUUCAGCUACAUUGGAAGGAACAAGCAUGUCAGGUUUCAGCUUCAUUGGUAGGAACAAGCAUGUGAGGUUUCAGCUUCAUUGGUAGGAACACGCAUGUGAGGUUUCAGCUACAUUGGUAGGAACACGCAUGUGAGGUUUCAGCUUCAUUGGUAGGAACACGCAUGUGAGGUUUCAGCUACAUUGGUAGGAACAAGCAUGUGAGGUUUCAGCUACAUUGGUAGGAACACGCAUGUGAGAUUUCAGCUACAUUGGAAGGAACAAGCAUGUGAGAUUUCAGCUUCAUUGGUAGGAACACGCAUGUGAGGUUUCAGCUUCAUUGGUAGGAACACGCAUGUGAGGUUUCACCUACAUUGGUAGGAACACGCAUGUGAGGUUUCAGCUUCAUUGGUAGGAACACGCAUGUGAGGUUUCAGCUACAUUGGUAGGAACACGCAUGUGAGGUUUCAGCUACAUUGGUAGGAACACGCAUGUGAGGUUUCACCUACAUUGGUAGGAACACGCAUGUGAGGUUUCAGCUUCAUUGGUAGGAACACGCAUGUGAGGUUUCAGCUUCAUUGGUAGGAACACGCAUGUGAGGUUUCAGCUACAUUGGUCCAGUGGUUCCUCAGGUGAUGUUUACAGUGUGAGGAAAUGCAUUUGAGAAAAUGUAGGAGCAAAGUUAAGUGCAAAGGUCAAAUCAAUGCAACAAGAGAGAUUUCCCAAGUGUUUUCACUGAUAGGGGGACCAUAAGGUGUUGGUUCUCAUUGUCUGAAUAAACCUAUCAUUUAAAGGUGAUUAUAAAUAUGUGUCGGAUAGGUGCAGAAGUGAAUUCAUUAAUUGAAUACUGUUGUCUAUCAAUCUAUGCAGGGAUUAGUCGACUCCUUCAUUUUGUUCACAAGGAUGUGAAGUAGAGAGGAUAUUCUAUCACAGACAUGCAGUCAAAAACUCAGUGCAAGUAAAAAUGAUUUUAGUGUCAGUGAUCAUUACAAUGGUUCUGUAUUUAUUCAUGCUUGAGAAUUCCCAGGGGUUUCCCAAGUAAUGUGGAAUUAGUCCCUCUGGGUUUCCUAUGAUACAGUCUCAUAAAUAAUGUGUUGAAAUGAGUUAUUCAUAUUCCUUAUGAACAUCCGUUUCUUGGUAAUGCAACUUGUCUCUCAUUCAAUGGGAAAUCUGUAUAUUGUGUAAACAUCACAUUAAAAAAUGGUUUAACAAAA